rnacentral:rRNA from 1 species
AGUUUGAUCCUGGCUCAGGAUGAACGCUAGCUACAGGCUUAACACAUGCAAGUCGAGGGGCAGCAUUUUAGUUUGCUUGCAAACUAAAGAUGGCGACCGGCGCACGGGUGAGUAACACGUAUCCAACCUGCCGAUAACUCGGGGAUAGCCUUUCGAAAGAAAGAUUAAUAUCCGAUGGUAUAUUAAAACCGCAUGGUUUUACUAUUAAAGAAUUUCGGUUAUCGAUGGGGAUGCGUUCCAUUAGUUUGUUGGCGGGGUAACGGCCCACCAAGACUACGAUGGAUAGGGGUUCUGAGAGGAAGGUCCCCCACAUUGGAACUGAGACACGGUCCAAACUCCUACGGGAGGCAGCAGUGAGGAAUAUUGGUCAAUGGACGAGAGUCUGAACCAGCCAAGUAGCGUGAAGGAUGACUGCCCUAUGGGUUGUAAACUUCUUUUAUAUGGGAAUAAAGUAUUCCACGUGUGGGAUUUUGUAUGUACCAUAUGAAUAAGGAUCGGCUAACUCCGUGCCAGCAGCCGCGGUAAUACGGAGGAUCCGAGCGUUAUCCGGAUUUAUUGGGUUUAAAGGGAGCGUAGGUGGAUUGUUAAGUCAGUUGUGAAAGUUUGCGGCUCAACCGUAAAAUUGCAGUUGAAACUGGCAGUCUUGAGUACAGUAGAGGUGGGCGGAAUUCGUGGUGUAGCGGUGAAAUGCUUAGAUAUCACGAAGAACUCCGAUUGCGAAGGCAGCUCACUAGACUGCAACUGACACUGAUGCUCGAAAGUGUGGGUAUCAAACAGGAUUAGAUACCCUGGUAGUCCACACAGUAAACGAUGAAUACUCGCUGUUUGCGAUAUACAGUAAGCGGCCAAGCGAAAGCAUUAAGUAUUCCACCUGGGGAGUACGCCGGCAACGGUGAAACUCAAAGGAAUUGACGGGGGCCCGCACAAGCGGAGGAACAUGUGGUUUAAUUCGAUGAUACGCGAGGAACCUUACCCGGGCUUAAAUUGCAUUUGAAUAAUCUGGAAACAGGUUAGCCGCAAGGCAAAUGUGAAGGUGCUGCAUGGUUGUCGUCAGCUCGUGCCGUGAGGUGUCGGCUUAAGUGCCAUAACGAGCGCAACCCUUAUCUUUAGUUACUAACAGGUCAUGCUGAGGACUCUAGAGAGACUGCCGUCGUAAGAUGUGAGGAAGGUGGA